UACGAAGGGUGCAAGCGUUAAUCGGAAUUACUGGGCGUAAAGCGUGCGUAGGCGGUUUUUUAAGUCCGUUGUGAAAGCCCUGGGCUCAACCUGGGAAUGGCAGUGGAUACUGGAAAGCUAGAGUACGGUAGAGGAUAGUGGAAUUCCCAGUGUAGUGGUGAAAUACGUAGAGAUUGGGAAGAACACCAGUGGCGAAGGCGGCUAUCUGGACGGUUACUGACGCUAAGACUCGAAAGCGUGGGGAGCAAACAGG
rnacentral:rRNA from 1 species